AGAGUUCGAUCCUGGCUCAGGAUGAACGCUGGCGGCGCGCCUAACACAUGCAAGUCGAACGGCACCCACCUUCGGGUGGAAGCGAGUGGCGAACGGCUGAGUAACACGUGGAGAACCUGCCCCCUCCCCCGGGAUAGCCGCCCGAAAGGACGGGUAAUACCGGAUACCCCGGGGUGCCGCAUGGCACCCCGGCUAAAGCCCCGACGGGAGGGGAUGGCUCCGCGGCCCAUCAGGUAGACGGCGGGGUGACGGCCCACCGUGCCGACAACGGGUAGCCGGGUUGAGAGACCGACCGGCCAGAUUGGGACUGAGACACGGCCCAGACUCCUACGGGAGGCAGCAGUGGGGAAUCUUGCGCAAUGGGGGGAACCCUGACGCAGCGACGCCGCGUGCGGGACGGAGGCCUUCGGGUCGUAAACCGCUUUCAGCAGGGAAGAGUCAAGACUGUACCUGCAGAAGAAGCCCCGGCUAACUACGUGCCAGCAGCCGCGGUAAUACGUAGGGGGCGAGCGUUAUCCGGAUUCAUUGGGCGUAAAGCGCGCGUAGGCGGCCCGGCAGGCCGGGGGUCGAAGCGGGGGGCUCAACCCCCCGAAGCCCCCGGAACCUCCGCGGCUUGGGUCCGGUAGGGGAGGGUGGAACACCCGGUGUAGCGGUGGAAUGCGCAGAUAUCGGGUGGAACACCGGUGGCGAAGGCGGCCCUCUGGGCCGAGACCGACGCUGAGGCGCGAAAGCUGGGGGAGCGAACAGGAUUAGAUACCCUGGUAGUCCCAGCCGUAAACGAUGGACGCUAGGUGUGGGGGGAACAUCCCUCCGUGCCGAAGCCAACGCAUUAAGCGUCCCGCCU
rnacentral:rRNA from 1 species